UGGGGAAUCAUGGUCAAUGGGCGCAAGCCUGAACCAGCCAUCCCGCGUGAAGGAUGAAGGUCCUAUGGAUUGUAAACUUCUUUUAUACACCAAGAAAAAUCUCCACGUGUGGGGACUCGACGGUAGUGUAGGAAUAAGCCACGGCUAACUCCGUGCCAGCAGCCGCGGUAACACGGGGGUGGCGAGCGUUGUCCGGAAUUACUAGGCGUAAAGGGCAGGUAGGCGGAUCAGUAAGUCGGACGUUUAAUCCUCGGUCUUAAGCUGAGACAUGCGUUUGAUACUGUUGAUCUAGAAUGCGGCGGGGGAAGACGGAAUUCCGGGUGUAGCGGUGGAAUGCGCAGAUAUCCGGAGGAACACCGAAGGCGAAGGCAGUCUUCCAUACCGUAAUUGACGCUGAACUGCGAAGGUGUGGGGAUCAAACA
rnacentral:rRNA from 1 species